GUGCGGCGCUUCGCCGCACACUCCUCACACCACCACGCCCGGCGAGCCCGGGUUUU
rfam:Synechococcus sp. RCC307 genomic DNA sequence.